GCCCAGUGAUGAGACUAAGGCAAAUAUGAGCUGACUGGCUGGGGAUGUUGUGUUCUCUUGCUUUCUGAUUGGUGGGUAAUCUUGGCAGAGCAGUGGAGAUUGGCUGCUCUACUGUAAGGGCCCACUCAUAGUCAAGUCAGCUGCCACUCAAAAUAUACACAGUUCUCCUUUAGAAAUGGACACUUGUGGAUGAUUUGCAGCUUACAGUGUCAGUAUGUGUCGUCUGUCUGGGUGUGUGUAAAUGUGUCAGUUAGCAAAGUGUCACAUCUCUCCAAAUGGGCCAGCCAGCUGUGAAUGUUGUUCUUUGGUAAUCUGAGGGUG